CUCGUAGGCGGUUCAGCAAGUCGUUUGUGAAAGUCCGAGGCUCAACCUCGGAAUUGCAGUCGAAACUGCUGUGACUCGAGUCCGGUAGAGGAGAAUGGAAUUCCCGGUGUAGCGGUGAAAUGCGCAGAUAUCGGGAGGAACACCAGUAGCGAAGGCGGUUCUCUGGGCCGGUACUGACGCUGAGGAGCGAAAGCGUGGGAGCAAACA
rnacentral:rRNA from 1 species